GACGAACGCUGGCGGCGUGCUUAACACAUGCAAGUCGAGCGGUAAGGCCCUUUCGGGGGUACACGAGCGGCGAACGGGUGAGUAACACGUGGGUGACCUGCCCUUAGCUCUGGGAUAAGCCUGGGAAACUGGGUCUAAUACCGGAUAUGACUCCAUGACGCAUGUUGUGGGGUGGGAAGCCUUGUGCGGCUAGGGAUGGGCCCGCGGCCUAUCAGCUUGUUGGUGGGGUGAUGGCCUACCAAGGCGACGACGGGUAGCCGGCCUGAGAGGGCGACCGGCCACACUGGGACUGAGACACGGCCCAGACUCCUACGGGAGGCAGCAGUGGGGAAUCUUGCGCAAUGGGCGAAAGCCUGACGCAGCGACGCCGCGUGA
rnacentral:rRNA from 1 species